AGGGUGAACCUGCGGAAGGAUCAUU
rnacentral:rRNA from 1 species